UUCUUAACUCGAGGUACUAUUUCUGGGUUAGCAGAGUCUGUAACCUGAAGCGUAUGUAACCCGAGGUACCACUGCAUUCUAUUUUAGAAAGGAUGCAGGAUGAAAGGAACUCUGCACACUGGAGGGAGUCAAUUCAGUAAAAAAUUCUAUUCAACUCAAAGGACUUCCUUUAUUAUCUCUUCUUCAUAGAUCAGAAUUAUUGAAUCAUAAGUUUGAAGGCAUCUUGUAUGCCUAGUCCAACCUUCUUGAUACAGGAAAUCCAGAGAUGGUUCUCUAGGCUCUGCUUGAAGACAUCUGGUCUUCACCCCUAGGUUGCUGGUUCCAUUGUUCAACUGUUCCUGCCAUUAAGAACUUUCUCAGCUGAAAUAUAUCCACCUAUAAUGUAAGCCUGUUGAAUCUAGUACAUCUUUGGGCUCUUCUGUGAGACGGCCCUUCAUGUAUUUGAGAAAUGUUGUUGUGUUCCUCCCCAGCCUUCUCUUCUCCAGAAUAAACAUACCCAGUUCCUUAAACCUUUCCUCAAAAUACUUGUUUUCCAUAUUGCUGAUCAACUUCAUUGUUCUGAUAUGAACUCAUUCUAGUUUGUCUACAUCUCCUUAAAAUUUAGUGCCCAGAAAUUGACACAGCAUUCAAGAUGAAAUUUGAGUAGUGCAGGGUAAAGUGAAACUAUUAUUUGUCAUGGCAUACGUUGCAGUGUUGCCACUGAGGGAGUUGAGUGAGGCAAGCCAAAAGUUCAGAGGGAAUCUAUGCAUCUUUAAACUUUUGUGUAUGUGUAAGAUGCAGCUGAUCUGAUAGGUUGUUGUUAGGACUAGAGUUUGUUAAAAAUUGUAUCCCAAAACUACUUAUCCUGGAUUAAAGAAAGCAGCUUGAGCAUGGAAAAACCAGUGGAGUACGACCACUACAUCUUUCUGAAUCAGCUUUUAGUCCGCUCUAUAACCAAAUAUCACCAGGUGGCUAGUCCAUAAAUUUUUGUAGAUUGAGGGCCAUGGACAACCUUUCAGGGGAUGCACAUCAAAGUGGAUGUGGCCAAGGGUAAAAACAGUUGUGGCCCAAUGACAAUGUGGUAGUAAUGGCCAACUUUAUGUAAAGCAAAUUUGAGGAACUGGGGUUGGGGGUACUUACAAAAAUACCUUCAAGGCAUCACAGAAUCACAGCAUGGUACUUGUGAGAGUGGUUAAUAAUAAUAAUAAUUACCACAACAGCAGGUUAUAUGUACAUGGGGGAAUCUUUUUUUUUUUUAAUCACAGUACCCCAGUGGUGUACCUAUGGGAACAGCUAGUAAUGUGUGCAAACAAUUUUUUGGCAAGAUGUACUGGAAGAACACACAAAAAACUUUAAAGAAUCACAGUAUCACUGAACUCUGUACUUCUCUGUUCAAAGCAAAUUUGGCUUCCAGUGUCUUCCUUCACUGAACUUGUAGAGUGUAGUUCUAUAGCAUUAACAUAUAGGCAGGGCAAGAAAUACCCAGUAAAUUGGUCUAUUUUUUAAAGGAGGAGGAAGAAGAGGAAGAAGAUCAGAAAGGCUUUGUACUAGAUGACAUCUAUAAAUGUAGACAGGAAUUUUUGUGUGUGCGUUUUAGCAGUGUUUUCAGCCUGCCAUGCAGUUAUUACACUUAAAAGGCAAAUAACCUGAAAUAACUCGUCUACUUCAAAUACAAAAACCGCAUUUAGAAAGGUUAAAAACAAUUGGCUCCAAUCUCAGACGGAGGCGUAAAUUUAGUAUGUGCCCAAGGAAUCAGUGCUGCUCUGUAGAAAUAAAUAAGUCCCUCAAGUCAAAUACAUGUUUUGAUUUGCAGUGGAGAUUUACAGCUACCCAAGCAGGGCAGUGAAAAUGCUUGCCACAAGCUGCAUCAAUGCAUUUUUGCAUAGUGCUCUCACCCAGUACUUACAGCAAGGCU
rnacentral:lncRNA from 1 species